GAUGAACGCUGGCGGCGUGCCUAAUACAUGCAAGUCGAGCGAACGGACGAGAAGCUUGCUUCUCUGAUGUUAGCGGCGGACGGGUGAGUAACACGUGGAUAACCUACCUAUAAGACUGGGAUAACUUCGGGAAACCGUAGCUAAUACCGUAUAAUAUUUUGAACCGCAUGGUUCAAAAGUGAAAGACGGUCUUGCUGUCACUUAUAGAUGGAUCCGCGCUGCAUUAGCUAGUUGGUAAGGUAACGGCUUACCAAGGCAACGAUGCAUAGCCGACCUGAGAGGGUGAUCGGCCACACUGGAACUGAGACACGGUCCAGACUCCUACGGGAGGCAGCAGUAGGGAAUCUUACGCAAUGGGCGAAAGCCUGACGGAGCAACGCCGCGUGAGUGAUGAAGGUCUUCGGAUCGUAAAACUCUGUUAUUAGGGAAGAACAUAUGUGUAAGUAACUGUGCACAUCUUGACGGUACCUAAUCAGAAAGCCACGGCUAACUACGUG
rnacentral:rRNA from 1 species